GAUGAAGAACGUAGCGAAAUGCGAUAAGUAAUGUGAAUUGCAGAAUUCAGUGAAUCAUCGAAUCUUUGAACGCACAUUGCGCCCGCCAGUAUUCUGGCGGGCAUGCCUGUUCGAGCGUCAUUUCAACCAUCAAGCCCCAGGCUUGUGUUGGAGCCCUGCGGCUGCCGCAGCCUCCCAAAACCAGUGGCGGGCUCGCUAUCACACCGAGUGCAGUAGUUUACUCUUCGCUCAGGGCGUGUGGCGGGUGCUAGCCGUGAAACCCCCAACUUCUCAAGGUUGACCUCGGAUCAGGUAGGAAUACCCGCUGAACUUAAGCAUAUCAAAGCGGAGGA
rnacentral:misc_RNA from 1 species